UGUAAGCUUGUUGUGGGUGUCUUUUGGUACACCUGAUGCGGCUUGAUGGUUGGAUGCAAUUGGUUUCAUGUUUAGCAUCUUGGAACAAACAUGGGUUUAGCUGGAGCUUGAAGUUGUAGUUGUGCUCCCAUAAUUUUUAUAUAUUUACAUACAUCCAUGAUUCUGAUAUCAAGUGAUUGCAGUUGCAUGUGGUGACUCCUGCUGGUAAUGUAUUGGUUGAAGACUUAACGAAACAGGUUUUGCUUGGCCUGGUGCACUUGGAGGUGACAUGGCUCGGCUUGAGAAACUGAUGAUGCCCGGCCUCAGUUACGACCUCUAUGAUAAGCCUACCAUACUAAUAAACAGAACAAGAAGGCGUUAGAUGGAUAUACAUUUGUCUUGCUUGCGAGGAUGAUGAAGCGGACGGAGAAGAGAGUUCUGCGGCAGUGACUACUUCCGCCUCUUGCUGCCCAUCCUGGAUGCAGUUCCUCGAGCUGUAAUUUUGU